AUUGAACGCUGGCGGCAGGCCUAACACAUGCAAGUCGAGCGGAUGCAGGGAGCUUGCUCCUGGAUUCAGCGGCGGACGGGUGAGUAAUGCCUAGGAAUCUGCCUGGUCGUGGGGGAUAACGUCCGGAAACGGGCGCUAAUACCGCAUCCGUCCUGAGGGAGAAAGUGGGGGAUCUUCGGACCUCACGCUAUCAGAUGAGCCUAGGUCGGAUUAGCUAGUUGGUGGGGUAAAGGCCUACCAAGGCGACGAUCCGUAACUGGUCUGAGAGGAUGAUCAGUCACACUGGAACUGAGACACGGUCCAGACUCCUACGGGAGGCAGCAGUGGGGAAUAUUGGACAAUGGGCGAAAGCCUGAUCCAGCCAUGCCGCGUGUGUGAAGAAGGUCUUCGGAUUGUAAAGCACUUUAAGUUGGGAGGAAGGGCAGUAAGUUAAUACCUUGCUGUUUUGACGUUACCAACAGAAUAAGCACCGGCUAACUUCGUG
rnacentral:rRNA from 1 species